rnacentral:rRNA from 1 species
CAGUAGCCGCGGGAAUACGGAGUAUCCAAGCGUUAUCCGGAAUCAUUGGGUUUAAAGGGUCCGUAGGCGGUCUUGUAAGUCAGUGGUGAAAGCCCAUCGCUCAACGGUGGAACGGCCAUUGAUACUGCAGGACUUGAAUUAUUGUGAAGUAACUAGAAUAUGUAGUGUAGCGGUGAAAUGCUUAGAGAUUACAUGGAAUACCAAUUGCGAAGGCAGGUUACUACCAAUUGAUUGACGCUGAUGGACGAAAGCGUGGGUAGCGAACAGGAUUAGAUACCCCGGUAGUCCCUGUCUCUUAUAC